CGCCGCGUGAGGUGAAGAAGGCCUUCGGGUCGUAAAGCUCUAUCGAUGGGGACGAAAACAAUGACGGUACCCAAGUAAGAAGCCCCGGCUAACUACGUGCCAGCAGCCGCGGUAAAACGUAGGGGGCAAGCGUUAUCCGGAAUUACUGGGUGUAAAGGGUGAGUAGCCGGUCAGGCAAGUCAUAUGUGAAAUUCCACAGCUCAACUGUGGGACUGCAUAAGAAACUGCUUGACUAGAGUGCAGGAGAGGUAAGCGGAAUUCCUUGUGUAGCGGUGAAAUGCGUAGAUAUAAGGAAGAACACCAGUGGCGAAGGCGGCUUACUGGACUGAAACUGACGGUGAGUCACGAAAGCGUGGGGAGCAAACAGGAUUAGAUACCCUGGUAGUCCACGCUGUAAACGAUGAUAGCUAGGUGUCGGGGCGGAAGCUUCGGUGCCGGCGCUAACGCAAUAAGCUAUCCACCUGGGGAGUACGGUCGCAAGACUGAAACUCAAAGGAAUUGACGGGGGCCCGCACAAGCGGUGGAGCAUGUGGAUUAAUUCGAUGCAACGCGAAGAACCUUACCAGGUCUUGACAUCCAACUAAACUUGUGGAGACACAAGGUCCCUUCGGGGGAGUUGAGACAGGUGGUGCAUGGUUGUCGUCAGCUCGUGUCGUGAGAUGUUGGGUUAAGUCCCGCAACGAGCGCAACCC
rnacentral:rRNA from 1 species